UACGUAGGGACCAAGCGUUGUUCGGAUUUACUGGGCGUAAAGGGCGCGUAGGCGGCCAUUCAAGUCAGUUGUGAAAUCUCCGAGCUUAACUCGGAACGGUCAACUGAUACUGCUUUGCUAGAGUACAGAAGGGGCAAUCGGAAUUCUUGGUGUAGCGGUGAAAUGCGUAGAUAUCAAGAGGAACACCUGAGGUGAAGACGGGUUGCUGGGCUGAUACUGACGCUGAUGCUCGAAAGCUAGGGGAGCAAACGGG
rnacentral:rRNA from 1 species